GACGAGGGGUCCUAGCGUUGUUCGGAAUCAUUGGGCGUAAAGCGUGUGUAGGCGGCCAUUCAAGUCAGUUGUGAAAGCCCCGGGCUCAACCCGGGAAGUGCUUCUGAUACUGUUUGGCUUGAGUACUGGAGAGGAUAGUAGAAUUCCUGGUGUAGUGGUGAAAUGCGUAGAGAUUGGAAAGAACACCGAUGGCGAAGGCACUUUACUGGGCUAUUACUAACACUCAGAGACGAAAGCUAGGGUAGCAAAUGGG
rnacentral:rRNA from 1 species